rnacentral:rRNA from 1 species
GAUGAACGCUGGCGGCGUGCCUAAUACAUGCAAGUCGAGCGAAUGGAUUAAGAGCUCGCUCUUAUGAAGUUAGCGGCGGACGGGUGAGUAACACGUGGGUAACCUGCCAUAAGACUGGGAUAACUCCGGGAAACCGGGGCUAAUACCGGAUAACAUUUUGAACCGCAUGGUUCGAAAUUGAAAGGCGGCUUCGGCUGUCACUUAUGGAUGGACUCGCGUCGCAUUAGCUAGUUGGUGAGGUAACGGCUCACCAAGGCAACGAUGCGUAGCCGACCUGAGAGGGUGAUCGGCCACACUGGGACUGAGACACGGCCCAGACUCCUACGGGAGGCAGCAGUAGGGAAUCUUCCGCAAUGGACGAAAGUCUGACGGAGCAACGCCGCGUGAGUGAUGAAGGCUUUCGGGUCGUAAAACUCUGUUGUUAGGGAAGAACAAGUGCUAGUUGAAUAAGCUGGCACCUUGACGGUACCUAACCAGAAAGCCACGGCUAACUACGUGCCAGCAGCCGCUGUAA